ensembl:snRNA U6 U6 spliceosomal RNA
GUACUCACUUCAACAGCACAUACACUAAAAUUGGAACAACACAGAGAUCAGCGUGUCCCCUGCACAAGGAUGACAUGCAAAUUCAUGAAGCGUUCCCCGUUUUU